rnacentral:lncRNA from 1 species
GCCUAAUUUCUGUCUGCCACCUUGCUCUGCUGCGAUGUUCAGGCAAUGUCUUCUUUGCUGAUGACAUCUCUGGUUUCGAGGAACAGAAGGGAGACUGCAUCUGUUGGCAGGAAGAGACAAAAGAAUGUACACAAGCCUUGUUCCAGACAUGCGACAAGGAACAGAUGAAAGAUUUCCUCCCUUCCCUUUGGGAGAGUUUCAAAGCCUCACUCUCUCCUAAGAAAAUGUCCUCAAGAGUAUUUUCAAUUACCUAAAACCAAAUACUUUUCUAC